rnacentral:lncRNA from 1 species
AAAAGGCAGAGGGUCACAGACAAAUAUGCAUGGACACACCAACAAGGGACAGUAAGAGAGAACAAAGAUGCAAAAGGGAGAAACAAAACUAAAAGGUGCUAUUUAUUUUUUCUACCCUACAAUGAACUUCAAUUUUGGCAAGGGACUGGAAACAGCCCUUGGAAACAAUUAAGUUUUUUCUUUUCUAAAAAGCUUGAGGACAAAACCAGAGAUUAUAAAGGGGCUAUGCUUGCCCAGGCACAGGCAUACGUAAAAUGGGGGGGAAGUGGGGAGAAGGAAAUGAAGGGAAAAGAAAACAAACAGAGCCCUAACAGGCCCAUACUGCUAACGGGAGUCCAAAUAAAGAGUCAUAUGAUAUCUGAUAGUGCAGGACACGUCGCCAGGAGCUGGAGCGGAUUGCCUGCAGGAAGAAAGAGCCAGUGUGUUACUGCUCAAAGAGCUUUUCUUCCCCCGUUUUAUUUUUUUUGCCCUCUCUCUCUUUUCUCCUGCACCGUGAAUGUGUUACUCUCAGAGAGCGAGAGCGCGAGCGCGAGAGAGAGAAGUCACAGAAAACAUUCAAACCAUGAAAAACAUCAGGAGUCGGUCGGAAAGAGUCUCCAGAGGGAGGAGGAAAGUGAGGAUUUAAAAUAAAAGAAAGGAAUUCUUAUUUGCCACAAGUUCAUCCAUUUCUAAUGUUCUUCAACAGAAUAAUGAACUCUUUUAGGGGGGUCCAUCUCUCCCUGUCAAGUGUUUUCCAUUCAACUGUAGAGUCCACAAAGUACUUUUGACCAGAUACUGCUAUUACUGAUAUCCAUGUAAAUCCAGGCUGCCUCGGUGACCUGCAAGGAAGGUACUCUGGACUUGAAGCCCUGGACCUAAGGCUGUAACUAUACCCUUAACUUCUGCUGACAAAGCUGUGUCCACCACAGGUUCCAAGAGGGAAGAGCCCCGGCUAGCAGAGCUCCAGGGGUAAAAGCUCCUUUUGUAGAUACUGCUACAAAACCCAAACUAUGUUUUUAACUGGCAUAGCUCAUUUCACUUGUCACAGACGGCUAUACUUCACUUUUGCAUCAGAUAGGCUGUGUCCACCAGGACUUUUUGCCAUUACAGUAUACUGGUAUUCCUAAAGCAGUGUAGCCAGAGCCAAAGGAUGGAUUUUUCCCCCUUUAUCAUGUAAGAAUAUGUGCAUGUACUAAUUCUCAAUAUACACUUACGCAGUACCUAGAUGUUGCUUAAAAACAGUGCCAUAGAUACAUAUGCUAUACCUAUGUAGCUCUAACGGACCAGCUCUUGUGAGGGAAGCCUGCAGCUUGGAUAUAAAAAUCAAGGUAUUGUAGCAAUAAUGCUUUGCAUCCAGAAACAAUCGUUAUAACUCUGUGACAAUUUGAUCUAGCUCUUCAUAUUGUAUGCUUAUGAUUUUUGGGGGGUGGAUAUAAUAUACAGCUUCCUCGCUUGUUUUCUGUAAAACUGAUAUAUGAUGCAGUUUUUAGACGGGUAAUUUGUCAAAGCCAGGAAAAUAUAAAUCAAUAAAGGAAGGAAGGCAGAAUUUGGCUAAAUAAAG